UCGAAUGCUGACGCGGAGGGACAUUACCGAGUUUACAACUCCCAAACCCAAUGUGAACGUUACCAAACUGUUGCCUCGGCGGGAUCUCUGCCCCGGGUGCGUCGCAGCCCCGGACCAAGGCGCCCGCCGGAGGACCAACCAAAACUCUUUUGUAUACCCCCUCGCGGGUUUUUAUAUCUGAGCCAUCUCGGCGCCUCUCGUAGGCGUUUCGAAAAUGAAUCAAAACUUUCAACAACGGAUCUCUUGGUUCUGGCAUCGAUGAAGAACGCAGCGAAAUGCGAUAAGUAAUGUGAAUUGCAGAAUUCAGUGAAUCAUCGAAUCUUUGAACGCACAUUGCGCCCGCCAGUAUUCUGGCGGGCAUGCCUGUCCGAGCGUCAUUUCAACCCUCGAACCCCUCCGGGGGGUCGGCGUUGGGGAUCGGCCCUUUACGGGGCCGGCCCCGAAAUACAGUGGCGGUCUCGCCGCAGCCUCUCCUGCGCAGUAGUUUGCACACUCGCAUCGGGAGCGCGGCGCGUCCAUUGCCGUAAAACACCCAACUUUCUGAAAUGUUGACCUCGGAUCAGGUAGGAAUACCCGCUGAACUUAAGCAUAUCAAAAAGCGGAGGAA
rnacentral:rRNA from 1 species